UUUCUUGCUAGUGUGGUUUAUUCUUGGUGGCCUUACCUUCCACUUGCUUGACUGCAUCACAUUGUUUAUGGAUUAUAAUUUGUGGGUCCCCGACUUAUCUGGAAUGUGGUACAGGAUCGAAGGUAUGAAGGUCAUUUCAGCCAAGUACUUUCCUGUUCUAUCUCAAUGGGUAUACAACUCUUUCUGUUACUAGAGAAAUGGUUGAUCUAUGGGAACUAGCUGAUUAGAAUGUUCCAUCGCUGAAUAAUUUCGCCAUUUGUUAAUGAACUUGAUACCCAAAUUGUACUAGAUGUGUUCCCAUUUUUCGUGUAGUUGGUCUAAACAGAAUCCAAACCAUUGAAGGCCACAUCAAGUACCAGUUAUCUAAACAGGGAGAAAAUUCUGCUUCUCAUUUGGAAUGCUUUUGAAGCUGCGGACAAGCUUUACAGCUCACCUUGAUUCAACUUCUGUCAAAGGACCCAUUCGACCAAUUUUUAAAGCUGCCAUUGUCUGCUAAAUUCUUUACAUGCGUAGAAGUAGGCUGGUUGCAUGGGUUAUCUUUAUACUAGUUCCUUUUUCCCCCUGUUUCAAUCCUUUUGAAGAGUAUGCACUGUUUAAGUACUUCAAUUGAAGACCUGGGUUUCAAUUGUUGGGAUGAGAUUUGGUUGGUCAUUGGAUUACAAGUGCAGCAUGGUUCUAAGCUUGUUGGUUGUAACUUUUAUUAUUCUUUUAUAGAUACAUAUUAGUGAUUUGUAA